rnacentral:lncRNA from 1 species
UCCGUAGUCGUGACAGAAUGCCAGAGACCCCCCCAAAAGCGCAGAGGUGGAAAGCAGAGGAGAAGAAACGCCGCGAAGGACGCAGCCCGCGAAUGACGUCACCCCCGGGAAACUCCGCGAAACCCGGAAGCGACAACGUCGGCGAGUGAGUGGGCGGAGCGAGGACGUUGGCGUCGGCAGCAGCGAGGAAGUGACGUGGGCAGCGAGCGCAGAAGAUGCGACCCCCACGAUCUUCGGCAUGUCGAGCCAAGAACUCUGCGCUCUGCUGGCAAGGCUCCCCGUGGACUGGGACGACACGGACGACGACGAGAGCACAGGAGACGAGAGUUGGGCUCCGCCCAUCGCGCCAGUCUGCGAUCGGGGACCCACGUCACUUCCAGGGGGGUGAGAAGCGGCAACAACGGCGGUGUUCCUCCAGCGAGGAGGUGGGCAGCCCCCAGCCCGAAUGGCCAGAGUACUGCCCAUGGGAGCUUAUCGCGCCAUGGGUCCAGGAUGUCCGCAGGGUGGACGACCCUCGGAGUCACCGGUGGGAGGACACGGAUGACGAAAGCGAUGAUGACGUGGAUUUUCGGUGGGCGGUCGUUGCCGGGAUGGCUCCGCCCAGCGUGCGCGUCCGAGAUCAUCGCGGCGUCCGUGAUGACCCAUGUGACUUCCGGGGGUACGAGGUGGACACGGACGACGACCAGGAUGACGCCGUUUGGGCAGUCGGUGCCGGGAGGGCUCCGCCCAUCGCGCCCAUCCAGGAUCGUCACGAGGUCCGUGGAGACCCACGUCCCUCCCAGCAGUGUGAGGAAAGCUGGUGGAAGAGGGCGACGGGAUGUCGCCAGCCAGCAACUGCGCUGCCGGGACUGCCUCGCAGGGAAUCCUCCAUUCCUGCUCCAGUCGCCGACCCGCCUUCCCUCUGCCCGGACGUUCCCCAGCGAAAUGGCAGCGCAGCACCAGCGUCCACACCUGCUGGAGAAGACGUCCACCCCCCUCCACACCACACACCUACCACCAUCUCCACCCACGAGUCCAGCCCCGUGUGGGACAGCCCAAUUGUCCCGGGACCCUUCAGUGGGGCAGCAGACACUGAUAAGACCACCACCAUCCUCACGUGUCUGACUGGGUCAGCAUGGGGCUGGAGCACAACCCUCUGGCAGCAGGGAGAGACAGACAGGAGUUUUCGGGACUUCCAACAGAGACUGAGGGCGGAGUUUGAUCGGCCUGAGCCAGGGAUCGAACUCUGCCCCUCCACCACAUCCAGCGCCAGUCAGGAUCCGGGGCAAGAAGACCCAGCACUGGUGGGCGACGAGAAGGUCGCUCCUCCCGAGAUCCUGGCUGUGCCCCCUGAGGAGGUCCCGGAGAGCCCAGAGAGGGAGCCAGACGACCCUCUCUUUUGUCUGUCUCUGUCUGUGUGUGUGUGCGUGGUAUAUGUGUCCGUAUGUCGCCCCCACUUCCCCUCUUUGUGUCCACCAGAUGGUGACCCAGCAGCAGAGCCGAACCCCAGGGAGGGAGUUCCCAACCUGACUGCACCGGUCCAAGGCGAGGUGGACGAGCCCCAAGGUACCCCUAAGUCCAGCCGGGGGGGGUGCUCCCCCAAAGAAUUUUUUGGGGGGGUGCAGUUCGGGUUGGGGACUCCUCCUGAGGGGAGGGGAGGUGGGGAAGCGAUGGAGCUGGGUCCUCCGGUAGCCAGUGAGGAGGGCGGGCCAGGCAUGGGCCUGCGUCUGCCUCCAGAGGGAUGGUCUGGCAAUGCCCCCCCCUUGACACCAGGGCCGUGCAGCGAGAGGGGCUGCAUAGUCCCAGAAGGCACCAGCCUGGGGUGCCUGGAACAGUCGCCGGAGGCUCUGGGACAAUCUCCCUGCGCGGUGCAGGGGGUGACACAAGAAGUGUCAGAGGGGACGUGUGGAGACAGGGCCCACACAUACCCAGAUGGAUCGGCCCUGAUUAUUGUGUGCAGGUACGAGAGUCCGGGGCCGCCAUGCGGGACCACGCCGGGGAGCCAGGCCGAGGGUCCGGGGCCGCCACGCCUGACCACGCCGGGGAGCCAGGCCGAGGGUCCGGGGCCGCCACGCCUGACCACGCUGGGGAGCCAGGCCGAGGGUCCGGGGCCGCCACGCCUGACCACGCCGGGGAGCCAGGCCGAGGGUCCGGGGCCGCCAAGUGGGACCACGCCGGGGAGCCAGGCCGAGGGUCCGGGGCCGCCACGCCUGACCACGCCGGGGAGCCAGGCCGAGGGUCCGGGGCCGCCAAGCGGGACCACGCCGGGGAGCCAGGCCGAGGGUCCGGGGCCGCCAAUUGAACGAUCUUCAAUAUUUAAAUUUGAUUGA